AGCGAACGCUGGCGGCAGGCCUAACACAUGCAAGUCGAACGGAUCCUUCGGGAUUAGUGGCGGACGGGUGAGUAACACGUGGGAACGUGCCCUUUGGUUCGGAACAACUCAGGGAAACUUGAGCUAAUGCCGGGUGUGCCCUUCGGGGGAAAGAUUUAUCGCCAUUGGAGCGGUCCGCGUCUGAUUAGCUAGUUGGUGAGGUAAAGGCUCACCAAGGAGACGAUCAGUAGCUGGUCUGAGAGGAUGAUCAGCCACAUUGGGACUGAGACACGGCCCAAACUCCUACGGGAGGCAGCAGUGGGGAAUCUUGCGCAAUGGGCGAAAGCCUGACGAAGCCAGGCCGCGUGAAUGAUGAAGGUCUUAGGAUUGUAAAAUUCUUUCACCGGGGACGAUAAUGACGGUACCCGGAGAAGAAGCCCCGGCUAACUUCGUGCCAGCCGCCGCAGUAACAC
rnacentral:rRNA from 1 species